UGUCUUCUCCAGCGUCCACCUCAUCCACGGUAACGGCGGCCUCCCAGCAGGAGGCUUCGCCGCUGGUGCUGGGUGGGGAUGCAGAAUCUCUCCUGGGGGGAGACCUGUUCUCCAGCCUGGGGGACAUCGGGCCCUUUGACCUGUCGCCUCUCUCGUCCUCGGACCUCCUGAACGGAGAAUGCCUUCCUCUCCCGUUGGACAGUUUUAUCAACCUCUCCCCUCCCUAUAGACACGACUACCACUUUGGACUGGAGGACCAUGAAGGAAUCAGCGAACUGUUCGACUGUGACUUUGAGGACUUGUCGCACGUUUUGGGCGAUGGGUAGACGGAGAAAAGACGACUUAAAUGUAGGACUUUAUCUUUCUGCUGAAGGARAGCUGUGAACCAAAAUUUUAAGGUCCAAUCUUAGUUUUCCUUCCCUUUGGGCUCUGGGAAAUYGCCUAGUUAGGAAAUCUCAAAUUUGCCCUUAAUUGUACAUACCAAUGUGAGCACUUCUCUGUGGCUAUUUUAAAAAAAAUUUUGACCAGGAUUUCAGCUAUAGUAUGGCUAUUUAAAUUAUUUAAAUAAGUUUAUUCUGAUAUUUUGUACCACGUUGUUGGUUUUGGAUGUAUUAUCCAAGUAGACAUUGGGCAGAGGAGGAUUGGAGUUUGCGUGUGCAGCAACAUGAUGUCUAGGAUUAGUUCCUGUGAACACUGAGUCCAGAUGUUUGAGAUUUCCUCAGUGUUUCUCUGAAAGGCCUUCAGGUUGAGGAGUUUUGACUGUCGAGGGAAGAUUGACGGCCUACUAUUAGAAAGCAUCCUGGAGGUUUUCAGAAUGAUGAUCAGCAGAAAAGCACAAGGUAAUUACAACAUUGGAAGAUUCUCCAAACUCUGGAAUCCUGUAAAACUAGAUCAUGUUGUAUCUGAGAUGUUUUAAAAGUCAGAGCCCCCGACGGGAUUUUUUUAUCCACUCUUCCUGAAGUACUUUUCUGAUUACAUUGUAAGAAUCAGCUUUCUUAGAAUUGACCAGUUUUGAGGACGUCUCUAGAGGAGAAACAUUGUCAGUGUGUGGGGAAACCAAGCGGUGACAGAUGAGGAGGAAUUUCUUAGCAUCCUGGUAAAAAGAAGUUAAAAAAGACCCMAAAAUAAACCCAUCCUUUAUUCGUGUGGCAUAAUCUCAAAACUGAAAAGUUUAGAAAAACAAGAUCUUUAUUUUUUUAAGAAAUAAUUGAAUUCUAGUUAAGAAGUGUGAAUUUCAACAUGGCGACACCCAUCCAUUGCAUUAGCUCUGACAAACAUUUUAAGCUUUACUUUCCAUAAACACCACUUUAAAUUUCUUCMUCACAUCAUUCCAGGCUCUACAUGUAACACUGAUUUAAGAUGCAUUCUUCCACCUGUGUUCUGUAAACAUGUUUCUAUCACAUCUCACUACUGUAGAUGUGAGGAGUGGCCAUAUUGAAAUGCAAAGUCCGCCUUACAAGUUAUAACUAGGGGUAGUCUGAGUUGCUCAGUUUCCCCAGUGGGAAAUCCAAUUUCAGAGGGCAAUCAGCUGAUUUUUCUGACUGGGAUGACAGAAUUGUCCAGUUUUUAGUGCAUCUGUAAUGCAGCAAUUAGCCCACRGGUUUUCUAACAGAUUGAAAAAGCUGAUAUURUGUCUGGUGCGCUAUUCCCAUGUUGAUUGGAUCUGAUGUUUCUGGUUAUUAUCAGAUUCUGACUGAUUUUCUAUUCACUGUGAGUCUAUCAGUUCUUUAUUAUUCUUAAUACUCUGUUUUUUACUCUAACUAUGUCCAUAUUGUCAGGCACACAGCAUCACAGACUCUACUAGAUUUUUCUUUCUUGUGGAAAAGCUUCAUUCUUUGCUCCUUUGAGAUGAUAUGUUGGYGUAGAUUCCCAGUCAUCACCCAGUCAUAAAGCUUAAUCCAAAAGCUUCUGAACAUUGUUGGAAGUAGCUGUARUCAGAACUCUCACAACAAUAUGGUUAAGGUUGUAAAUGUGGCAAUURGGACACAAAUCACUAGCUGUGCUUAAAAUUUACCAUAUUGCACAAUUUGACAUCUAGAAAAUAAAUGUGCAAUUUCCAAUUUUGAAAAAAGCUUUUUUAUUUUUUUUUAUCAAAUGUUUUGGUGCUAGGAUGGCGUUAGGGUUUUUGGCUGUAUAAAACUUGGUUUAAUUUGCAAAACUGCAACAGAAACUAUUUUGGCCUCAAACGAUCCACGACCAGAUGCUGCCACUGACGCAAACCACGAAGAAGGAAGCAGUUGGAGGAUGAUGGCGCAUGAGUUAUUGUUCAUGAGUGAUUUUAAUUCCAUUUCUUAUUUAAUGAAAACACUGCAAUUGCAAAAUUGUGUUUUUUCAACAUURGCGGAAUACCAACAAAGUUUUACUCGCAUUUAAAAUGGAAACGCAGCUACUGGUGCUUCCCCUCCGCCCUGCUAAAUGUUUGGAUCGUUGUUGCUUUUGAGAUUAUCUCAUUUUAUGAUUUCUARAUAUUUUUACGCCUUGUGAUCAACUGUUUACCAACCCACUGAUAUUAUUCUUGUGUUGCACUUCAGGAGGUAGCAACAAACCACAAUGAACUGUAAGCGGUAGAAUGCUAUCGUGGGGUCAGCAUUGAUGUUUUGUAUCAGGUCAAAAGUGAAGAAGAAGAAGUGAAUAACGAGUUUGUCAGGGUCGCUCGCUUAUUGAACUMUGAUCUGAAAGGGGUUUCAGUCUCAUCAGACCAAACCAAACGAUUCCAGAUUAAAUUCAAGUAGAAUUUUAGCAAACUUCAUAUCUCUUGUCACGGUAGGACAUUUCUCCCAAAUAGCUGGUUAAAUGGCAUAUUAUGGUCGUUAUGGCGACUUGGAGAUGACACAUUUUCCCCCUGUUGUCUGAACAGUGACCUUUGCCCUUUUUGACCAUCCUUYUCACUGCGGGACAUACUAGUGUCAAAACAUAAUGGGAAUGUAUGAAUUGAAAACAAUUGCGCUUCUAUAGAUUGUUAAAACAGCGACUUUUUCCCUCUACAUAAUAGAUUCUCUGAAGUUAAAGGUAGGGUACUUAAUUUUUUUAGAUGAGAUUAUGCUGCUGCAAUAAAAGAUUUAAGUAAGGUUUUUUUUUUUUUUUUUUACCAGCAAUGCCAAGAAGUUUGUUUCCAUGUGUGCAGACUGCUGCGGCUUUGAGAAGCAGUUAAUCCUGAUCAGACUUACUCAGUCCUCACGGCGUUCAGCCGCAGUCUCAGGUGUUUGGAGCAGAGUGAAGUCUUAACUCAAACAUGUGAACAGGUGUGUUUCUAGAAGGGUUAGGUUCUGGUGUGUUUUAUUUUCCUUUACAUGUCUAGCAGAAGAUUCAGAUGUUAGACGUUCACGUGCUGGAAGACAUGGAGCUUUAAUCUCAAUCUCAAAGCUUACACAGUUGGCUGUGGCUCACUUCGUUGCUGCAGGUGUUAGGAAAGUUUGGGUAGAAGUUUUAGAUUUGGGGGAAAAAGGAAAGCAGAAACGAGGAUGUCCUGUUGUUUUUCAGUAAAUGCACUUCAGAUCGGCUCAGUAUUGCUCAUGCCUUAAAUCAGUGACCUAUCAGGUAGAAGGGAGUCAGUCAUCUUCAUCUUGACUGAAACCCUUCAUUCAUGUUUUUUUUCUGCUUCAAUUGCAUCAACCUGCAUCUUCAUAUUUGAUUACAAAGCUUGGAGAMACUGUCUGCUUUCAGUUUAGAUCAGCAAUAAGCAUAUAUCAGAUGUUUCUCAUGCAAUGUUGUACAUGUAAAAUCUUUGUCUUAACUUAUGUAAGCUAACCAUUUCAUUAGAUUUUUUUGCUUUCGUAAGCAUUGGACUUUGAUGUGUGUAUGUGUCUGUGUUUAUAUUUAUUUUUUGUUCUGGAAAAGGGUUUAGGAGGGAUAAAGGUACAGGUAAAUUUCAUUCCAUCUGGCUGAUGGAGACUUUAUUUCAAAUAUUAUCCCCCGGAAUUGUGACAUUUUUGUAAAUCUCCACCUUGUUUUGUGCAUAUUUAUAACCUAAUGUUUUUUCCCUGUCCUAUUUAAAUACAUACUCUAUUUCUCCACA